rnacentral:rRNA from 1 species
UAUCCUGGCUCAGGACGAACGCUGGCGGCGUGCUUAACACAUGCAAGUCGAACGGAAAGGCCCUUCGGGGUACUCGAGUGGCGAACGGGUGAGUAACACGUGGGUGAUCUGCCCUGCACUUUGGGAUAAGCCUGGGAAACUGGGUCUAAUACCGAAUAUGACCACGCUCUUCAUGGGGUGUGGUGGAAAGCUUUUGCGGUGUGGGAUGGGCCCGCGGCCUAUCAGCUUGUUGGUGGGGUAAUGGCCUACCAAGGCGACGACGGGUAGCCGGCCUGAGAGGGUGACCGGCCACACUGGGACUGAGAUACGGCCCAGACUCCUACGGGAGGCAGC